GACGAACGCUGGCGGCGUGCUUAACACAUGCAAGUCGAACGGAAAGGCCCUGCUAUUGUGGGGUGCUCGAGUGGCGAACGGGUGAGUAACACGUGAGUAACCUGCCCUUGACUUUGGGAUAACUUCAGGAAACUGGGGCUAAUACCGGAUAGGAGCUCCUGCUGCAUGGUGAGGGUUGGAAAGUUUGUGCGGUUGGGGAUGGACUCGCGGCUUAUCAGCUUGUUGGUGGGGGAGGGGCAUACCAAGUCUUUGACGGGUAGCCGGCCUGAGAGGGUGACCGGCCACCAUGGGACUGAGAUACGCCCCAGACUCCUACGGUAGGCAGUAGUGGGGGAUAUUGCACAAUGGGCGCAAGCCUGAUGCAGCAACGCCGCGGGUGGGAUGACGGCUUGCGGGUUGUAAACCGCUGUCGCCUGUGACGAAGCGUGAGUGACGGUAAUGGGUAAAGAAGCACCGGCUAACUACGUG
rnacentral:rRNA from 1 species